rnacentral:rRNA from 1 species
GACGAACGCUGGCGGCGUGCUUAACACAUGCAAGUCGUACGGUAAGGCCCUUUCGGGGGUACACGAGUGGCGAACGGGUGAGUAACACGUGAGUAACCUGCCCACAACUUUGGGAUAACGCUAGGAAACUGGUGCUAAUACUGGAUAUGUGCUCCUGCUGCAUGGUGGGGGUUGGAAAGCUCCGGCGGUUGUGGAUGGAAUCGCGGCCUACCAGCUUGUUGGUGGGGUAGUGGCCUACCAAGGCGGCGACGGGUAGCCGGCCUGGGAGGGUGACCGGCCACAGUGGGACUGAGAUACGGCCCAGACGCCUACGGGAGGCAGGAGGGGGGAAUAUUGCACAAUGGGCGCAAGCCUGAUGCAGGAACGCCGCGUGCGGGAUGACGGGCUUCGGGUUGGAAACCGCUUUCAGCAGGGACGAAGCUUUUUGUGACGGUACCUGCAGAAGAAGCACCGGCUAACUACGUG